GUGUUCAAUAAAAGGAGAGCAGGUUGGGAUAUCCUUUAACAGGGAUGGGAACAGACUAUGGACAUACCUGUCAAUACAUGCAGUUUGAAUCGUCACAAAGAGAAGGGAAGAAAACGAUUUUU